AUUGAACGCUGGCGGCAGGCCUAACACAUGCAAGUCGAGCGGAGCGGCGGAAGGGUGAGUAAUGCCUAGGAAUCUGCCUGGUGGUGGGGGAUAACGUCCGGUAACGGGCGCUAAUACCGCAUACUAUCAAUUGAGCCGAGUCCGGAUUAGCUAUUGGGGGGGGUAAAGGCCUACCAAGGCGACGAUCCGUAACUGGUCUGAGAGGAUGAUCAGUCACACUGGAACUGAGACACGGUCCAGACUCCUACGGGAUGCAGCAGUGGGGAAGAUUGGACAAUGGGCGAAAGCCUGAUCCAGCCAUGCCGCGUGUGUGAAGAAGGUCUUCAGAUUGUAUAGCACUUUAAGUUGGGAGGCGUUACCAUCAGAAUAAGCACCGGCUAACUUCGUGCCAGCAGCCGCGGUAAUUC
rnacentral:rRNA from 1 species